GACGAACGCUGGCGGCGUGCUUAACACAUGCAAGUCGAACGGAAAGGCCCCUUUGGGGGUACUCGAGUGGCGAACGGGUGAGUAACACGUGAGUAACCUGCCCUUGACUUCGGGAUAACUUCAGGAAACUGGGGCUAAUACCGGCUAGGAAUCCUUGCUGCAUGGUGGGGGUUGGAAAGCUUCGGCGGUUUUGGAUGGACUCGCGGCUUAUCAGCUUGUUGGUGGGGUAGUGGCUUACCAAGGCUUUGACGGGUAGCCGGCCUGAGAGGGCGACCGGCCACAUUGGGACUGAGGUACGGCCCAGACUCCUACGGGGGGCAGCAGUGGGGAAUAUUGCACAAUGGGCGGAAGCCUGAUGCAGCAACGCCGCGUGCGGGAUGACGGCCUUCGGGUUGUAAACCGCUUUCAGCAGGGGCGAAGCUUGUGGUGACGGUACCUGCAGAAGAAGCACCGGCUAACUACGUG
rnacentral:rRNA from 1 species